AUAAAAAGCCCAACGCCCGAGCGGGCAGAGGUCACAGGGAGCAGACACAGGAUUCCUGGCCUCGGGGAGCUCAGCCCAGCAAGCAUGAGGCUGCCCCCCGCCAUCAGGCUGCUGCAAGCCCCCCUGAGGGGCUGUGUGGUGCCCAAGGCGCACAUCUACGCCAAGCCGGCCAAGACUCCCGUUUCCCCCGCGGAGCAGGCUGUGGGGCUCAUGAUGACGUUCGUCAGCUUCCUGAUCCCCGCGGGCUGGGUCCUGUCCCACCUGGAGAGCUACAAGAAGAGCUCUGCGGACUGAGGGCUGGCAGGCGCUGCUUCCGGCACCGGAGGAAAAGUCCCAUUAAACCCUCUCUCCAGCCAAG